GUUUGUUUAAGGGGAAAGAGAGAAACAAUGGAAGCUCUGCAGCCAUUGAAGCAACUUAUCCACUUUACUUCUCUCAGAUUUAGACCUUCUUCUUCUUCUUUUUUUAUUGUUCGUUGCUGUUCUUCCACUACAACUGAAGUCACCGGUAGAGCCGCCGGCGGUGGCCGCAACCGGAGGUCCUCUUCCGGCACCUCUACUUCCACUUCUGAUAAAGAAGCUAUUCGUGCUAUUCGUAUCAAGAAGGUAGAAGAAUUGAGAAGCAAUGGC
rnacentral:misc_RNA from 1 species